AACGAACGCUGGCGGCAUGCCUAAUACAUGCAAGUCGAACGAGAUCUUCGGAUCUAGUGGCGCACGGGUGCGUAACGCGUGGGAAUCUGCCCUUGGGUUCGGAAUAACAGUUAGAAAUGACUGCUAAUACCGGAUGAUGACGAAAGUCCAAAGAUUUAUCGCCCAAGGAUGAGCCCGCGUAGGAUUAGCUAGUUGGUGAGGUAAAGGCUCACCAAGGCUACGAUCCUUAGCUGGUCUGAGAGGAUGAUCAGCCACACUGGGACUGAGACACGGCCCAGACUCCUACGGGAGGCAGCAGUAGGGAAUAUUGGACAAUGGGCGAAAGCCUGAUCCAGCAAUGCCGCGUGAGCGAUGAAGGCCUUAGGGUUGUAAAGCUCUUUUACCCGGGAUGAUAAUGACAGUACCGGGAGAAUAAGCCCCGGCUAACUCCGUGCCAGCCGCCGCGGUAA
rnacentral:rRNA from 1 species